UGCAUUACAAUUGAAUACGAUCGUAUAACGCUAGGAAUAUGGCCUGGAAGUCUCUACCGAAACACCGUAAAUGUUUCGACUACGAUCCUGAAUAGAAGAGUU
rnacentral:ncRNA from 2 species